ensembl:lncRNA
CUCAUUCACCUUUCAAGUUACAGCUUAAAUAUUUUUAUAUUGUGUAUCCAAUAACAGAUUAUUAUAGUUGUGAUAUUUUUCACUACCUUUGCUUUUUAACUUUUAAAUUCGAUUGGUAUGUGAAUUACACACAGCUUUACUGUAUCACAGACUCUCUGACCAUAUAUUAACCAUUCCCAGUGAGUCUCAUGCUACCUUCUUAUGUUUUAAUAAUGUUAACUAGAGUCCUUUUGCUGCCAUUAAAGAACUCCUUGUAACAUUUCUUGUAAGGCAGGUGGCCUGGUAAUAACUCCCUCAGCUGUUGUGCAUUUGGGGCAGUCUGUCUCUCCAUUUCUGAAAGACAGCUUUGCCAGAUACAGAAUUCUUGGUUGACAAUUUCUUUUUCUUCCAGUAUUUUGAAUCUAUCAUCCUAUUCUCUCCUGACUUGAAAACGUUUUGUUGAAAUAUCCACUUAUAGUGUUAUAGGGUUCCUUUUUAAGUAUGUGCGGGGGCUACUGGCUUUGUUCUGCAGACCAUCAACUCCUCCUGCCAGACCCUGGCCUCCAGCCUCGCUGAGCCACACAGUCCCACAGCUGUUACCACUCAGGUUUUCUGAUCCACUGGGCCCCAGAGCUCCUCUCGAAAGUGGGUGGGACUGUGAAUUAGCCUCCCAGCUUGAGCAGGAGAGGGCCAGACUCGGUUCCAGGGCCCCAGCAGGGCUCCUCUUUUUGAGGGCCUCCUUCAGGCAGAUCUGCACCCCUCCGAGUUCCCUGGUCAUAUUGUUGGUAUCCUGGCUCUGCAGAUGAGUAAAGCUGCUGGCUGAGAUGACAAUUCCUAGGACGCUGAAGGUUUGUUCCUUGGAUAGAUGUGUGUGUCCACCAGCACUCUCAGGAUCCAGGACUUCACUCCUCCACCUUCAUAAAGCAGUUCUCUCAUGCUAUUUGUCUUUUGUUUGAUUUUAUUGAAGUAUAGUUGAUUUACAAUGUUGCGUUAAUUUCUGCUGUACAGCAAAAUGACUCCCUUAUACAUAUAUAUACACUCUUUUUCAUAUUUUUUUCCAUUAUGGUUUACCCCAGGAUAUUGAAUGUAGUUCUCUGUGCUACACGGUAGAACCUUGUUGUAUAUCCGUUCUGUGUACAGUUGUUCACAUCUGCCAACUCCAACCUCCUGCUCUAUCCCUCCCCCUCCCUCUUGGCAACCUCACAUCUAAUUCUCUGUGUCUGUGAGUUAGUUUCUCUUUCAUAGAUAAGUUCGUUUGUGCCAUAUUUUAGAUUCCAUAUAAAAGUGAUAUCA